GACGAACGCUGGCGGCGUGCUUAACACAUGCAAGUCGAACGGAAAGGCCCUGCUUUUGUGGGGUGCUCGAGUGGCGAACGGGUGAGUAACACGUGAGUAACCUGCCCUUGACUUUGGGAUAACUUCAGGAAACUGGGGUUAAUACCGGAUAGGAGCUCCUGCUGCAUGGUGGGGGUUGGAAAGUUUCGGCGGUUGGGGAUGGACUCGCGGCUUAUCAGCUUGUUGGUGGGGUAGUGGCUUACCAAGGCUUUGACGGGUAGCCGGCCUGAGAGGGUGACCGGCCACAUUGGGACUGAGAUACGGCCCAGACUCCUACGGGAGGCAGCAGUGGGGAAUAUUGCACAAUGGGCGGAAGCCUGAUGCAGCAACGCCGCGUGCGGGAUGACGGCCUUCGGGUUGUAAACCGCUUUCGCCUGUGACGAAGCGUGAGUGACGGUAAUGGGGAAAGAAGCACCGGCUAACUACGG
rnacentral:rRNA from 1 species